CAUCUCGUAGUCAGUCAGCUUAUCAUAGAGAUCUUCAAAAGAGAUCGGCGAGUCGCGUGCCCGAAUUGCAGCAGCCAAUUCCUUGUAGUCGGUGUCGAGACCAUUGAGGGUAUGAAUGACAACCUCUUCGUCACAUAGGGAAUGACCUACCAAGGCCAAGUCAUCAAUGAUAACCUUGAUAUGUCGUAGAUAAUCAGAGAUAGUACUUCCCUCUUAUUUUGUCACCAUAAGCUUGGAUAGAAUACUGAGCUUGCGAGUACGCAAAUGAUUUACCAGGGUGGUUUGCAGUGUAGACCAUGCAUCGGCAGCUGUCACACAUGAAGAUAUCAAGGGAGCAACGGAUCCAGAAACUGAAGCUUGAAUAGCUUGGAGGAUGAGACGAUCUUGACGUAGCCACAGUUUGUGAGCUGGAUUGGGUACUGGACUGGGAUCGCCAGGGAUGUUGAGCAUGGCCAGAGGACAACUGAAAGAGCCAUCAAUGUAACCUAACAAGUCGUAUCCAAAUAAAAGAUUAGAAAAUUGAGCUCGUCAGGACACAUAGUUGUCACCCUUUGAUGACUUAAAGGGGAUCAGCGUGGCAGCAUUGAUGGAGAUAAGCCCUAUAGAAGAACAAGAAGUGGGAGUCCCUACAGGAACUGAAACAUCAAAAGAAGUGAACGAAGACAUUUUUUUUUCGUUUUUUUUUUUGAAGAGAUGCAGCGAACCUUGUGUGAUACUCAGGUCACACAAGGUGGAGAAUGAGGGAGGGGGCAGCUGCUAUAGAUUGCUGCAGUAGAUUGGGCAAUCUACAACAGUGCCCAAAGCUGUCGGCAGCUGUUGUGGAUUGUUGCUUGCUGCAGCAAAUUGUAGAGGCUGCAGUUCGCCGGAAGAUGGCCGCGAAAACUGCAGCGGUACUCAAGACUGCGGUUCGCCGGGAAAUAGCUACGAAAAUCUGCAACGGUACUCAAGGAAACUACAGUGAGAGAAAUCUGCAGCAAUUAGAUGUAUAGAGGAAAGCGACAGCGAAAGCUGCUGCGGUAGAGGAAGGAAGAUGCAGCGGUUGCGGCUGCUGCUGGCCAGGAAGCGACUGUGACAGCGACGCCGGAGAGUGUCUGCUGUCGAAGAAAAGCAAGACCGGCGAUGAAGGAAGAGAAGAAGUGGAUGAGCAGAGCCAAGACGGUGCUCGUUAUUAUUAUUAACAUAUCCCUUUCCUUUUAUACAGAUUAAAAGGGAGAAUUUCCUCAAUAGCGAGGAAGAUUUCCUCAACAGAAUAGAGAAUUUUCCUGAGGAUUUACCUCAACAGAAUAGAGAGAUUUCCUCAAACAAUCUUAUCUAAUUAUCACCAAUCCACCCCCAUACGAUCAUGUCUGUGUGUAUAGCCCCAUACGGAGUGUGCACAAGACAACAACAAAUCUUUGGCCUAUGAAAAAUGAACCUAAUGUGAUGCCAGACUACAUUAUAGCCCCAUCCACACCGCAUCGAAAUAGACGGCGGCGGCGGACGCUACACAUUUUAUGAGGGAGGGAGGUUAAAACAAAAUUAAACCCUGCUAAGCGUCGAACUGAGGUUACUUCCGGUCCACCCACUCGCAUGCCGCUGCGGGCCCCGAGAGUAAGAGAAUGGAAGGUCCGACCGCAACCACACUUCCACGGGUCAUGCCGCUAAGCUGAGCCUCGGCCCCACCGGUCGCGCGUCCGACGGCGACGCGCCCCGCACUUUCGCCUCCGCUCCUCUUUCCCCGGUCCGGUUCUCCGGCUCCAGGCCAAGCCUCAGGUCCAGCCGUACGCCCUCCGGCUCCCCCAGGAUCACGUGCGAUCCCUCCGCCGAGAACGCGCUCCCGUCCUCGCGGCUAGCCUCCUCCUCCGUUUCUUGUCUCGCCGCCCGUCGGAAGAGCCCCGGCUUCGAGACGACCAGCGCAGCUGGACUUCCGGCCGAGCGCUUGAAUCGGGUCCGUGACUUGCGGGCUACCUCGUGGAGGUCCCCGGGGACGCCACCGGCGCUGAGGUUCUUGGACACAUGGCGGAUGUCGUGGGCCUUGAACGCCGGAAUAGCGCCAGCGGCGGAGUCGGACGAGAUCUGGAUGAUGGGCGCCCCCUUGAGCACCGCCUCGACGGCCGCCUGGCACAGCUGCCAGCUGCCGGACCAAAGCAAACCCACCGAGCCAUAUACCGGGUUAACGAUCCGCCCACAAGCCUCGAACAACAGCGACCGGAAUAUGGCUGACAAAGAGACACACGCACGACGCUUUCAACUCCCAGCCUUUACAGUAGAACGAUCAUCAUCACUCAAAUUCCUCCUGACGCAAGAGAUAUAUACAUACCAGGGCGGAGGUGUUCGGUGCCGGCGUUGAUGAGGUUGACGAGUCCGGCGCGGCCGUAGAACUUGGCGAGGAAGGCGGUGGCGUUGGCCUGCGCCUCGGGGUUCUUGAUCCACUGCAGGCAGGGCCGGAUGGUGCACCCGUCGGUGCAGGCCUUCCGCAGGAUUCGACAUCCGUUGCAGCUCUUCCUCAUCUGGUAUCGACAACUUGCAACUUACAGCAAAUUCUCUCUCUACAGGCAGAAAGGCUCCAAAAGAAAGCUGGCUUGCAAACGGAGCGGAAGAACGAGCGAGUGCGAUGGAGCAGACGGGUGGAAGGGGAAGGAGUUGCGGACUAUAUAAGCUUGGAAGGUGGAUGUAGGAUUGAUCGAUCAUUGUCAUCAUGGGAUCACGUAGAUAGAUGUCCGCAUGUUGGAGGAUGAAUCAGAGUCUCCAAAACAGAGUCUCCUAUUGCGUCUUCCGCGUGAAUCAAUUCAUGUUCUUACAAAUGAAUGGCAAAAACGAGAGCGACGCAGUUUCUUCAUCAUCGUUGUGUAACACAUUUUUCAGAUUUUGAUUGCAACGAAAUAGAUUUUUUUAAUUUUCUUCAUUAUCAUUCACUUACUACUUAAUUUGUAUUGUAUCGGUAAAAAAAAUAAUAAUUGAAAGUAUCAUUUAGUUAGAUGGGAAGAACUUUAAUAGUUUAUCAUAAGAUUGUAAGUUCGAAUCCUGUAUUUAUUAUUUAUUAUUUAUUAUUUAUAAUAAAAUAUCUAAUAAUUGAUCGAAAUUAAUAUGUUAGACACAUAAUUAAUUCAUACAUACUAAUAACCAUAAUGAUAGAGUAAUAAGAUAACAUAGGAAGAAUAUUAAUCGUUAAGCAUAGCUCGACAUGUCACGAUAGUUUCAUUAUGUCAGUAAAAUCGAAUAAAACUAUUUUUAAAUAUUUUUUAUUAUACUAAAUAUCGAGAUUCUUAUACACAUUAAAUUAUAAAUAAUAUGUCAAUAUAAGUAUAUAUAUUAUCCUUACUUAGUGAUAUGAUUUGUGAUGUUAUGCUUCAUAAAUAUGGUAAAUAAUAUGUUCAUGUUGUCAACUUUUAAAGUUGAAAUAUAUUAUUUCCAAAACUAUUAUUCUCAAUAUUGUAAGAAAUUUUGGUUGAACAUGCAUAAGGAUCAAUAAUUACUUUAAGUAUAUUUUAUUAAAAAAAUAUAUGAGCAUUCGACGUAAUAAGUUUAAGUAUGCUAACGAAUUUAAAUAUUAGAUUAAGUAAUAAUAAUAAUAAUAAUAAUAAUAAUAAUAAUAAUAAUAAUAAUAAUAAUAAUAAUAAUAAUAAUAAUAAUAAUAAUAAUAAUAAUAAUAAUACAUAUAGUGAUUAGAAGUGACGAUUCAAUUGUAAUUGACCUUAAGUGAAUCACAAAAGCUCGAUUAGUUUGAAUAUGAUUAAAGGAAGCUUAAAUUUUAAACAUCAUGUGUGUGAGGAAUAAUAAAUUGUUUAUCUAUUGGAUGGAGUAAUAAAAAAUUAAAUAAAAAUAUAAAUUAAAGAAGAGUGUUAUACUAAACUUAUUGAGAUACAUAAGUGAGAUUGAGAGAUAUAUUUAGAUAAAAAUAUAAUAUUUAUCAAAUAAAAUUAUACUCAAUUAAAGUUAAUAAAAUCUUAUAAUUAUAUUAAUAAAAAAACUUAAAAUAACAUCCAAUAGGAUUCAACCAUCUACACUUAUACUUUAAGAUAACUUAUUAAGUUUAUCUAUUAUAUUUUUGCUAAUUACUUGUGUCCAAAAGACUAAUUCGAUGACACGUGUGAUGUAUUACACAAUUUUUUUUUAUUGUUAUUAUUAUUAUAUAUUUUUUUAUUUUUUAUUAUAUGAUAAAUAUAUAUUAUGAUGUCUUUAAAUUUAUGCAAUGAGAAUUGGAUCAUGAUAAGAUUAUGAUAGUGAGACUAAUUUGUCUAUGAACACAUAUCGCUAAAUAUUUCGAUCAUAGAUUACUCGAAAGAGACAUCAAGAUAGCCAGAUAGACCGGUGUAUUAUAUACCCGUCCAUAUGAUGAAAGUAGCUGAUCUCAUAGCUGCUUAUGUGGGAACAAUAAUGAUAUAGCACAGGUGCUCAUUAGAGAAUGAGUUCACUGAAUGAUUCGCUUACGGAAUGUUAGAUGGUUAAUAAUAACUUAACGUAAGACAAUGAUUUCGCAGUCUUAGUUGUAUGUCUGGUUCUUAGACUUGAGACACUAAUGAUACAUUAUUUGAGUACUUCGUUCUUUGAAACCAGAUUUAUAAGUCUGAAAGUUCUGAAUUUAGUAUAGAUGGUCAUUGAGAACGACAACCAAACUUACGAAGGUAAUUGGGUGUCAAUAGAAUAUCAUUCACUUUCGAUAUCAUGAGAGAAAUAUCUCGUGGGCUUUCACUUAGGAAAAUCCAUAGAUAUGAUCAAUUGGAUUAUGAUAAAUUAUUCGAGAUAAUGAGUUAUUCGAGAGAAUCCAAUUAGAGUGAGACUUGAAUAGAUUUCGUACAAACUUGACAACACUAUGCCCAAUAUAUGAUCUCUGGGAUAUUAGAUAGAUGAGAGACUAUAAAUACAUUGUAACUAAGGGCAUACAUGUCCAAUGGAUUAGAUCCCCCUAUAUCAUCCAAGGACUAUGACACAGUGGCUUAGUACGUCCAUAGUCGAUGAGUUGAGUGAAUUAUUAUUAGGAUAAUAAUUUAAUGAGUUAUAAAAAGUUCUAAUAAGUGUAACUCACGAUCAGCUCGAUAUUGAGACUAGAUGGUCAUACAUAUAUGGUGAACAACGUGACAAGUAGAGGAUUGAAUAUAAUAUAUCCAAUAAAUUAUUAUUUUAUUGGAUCCAUUGAGUGAGACUCAAUAGAGCUUAUAGUGGUUAUUGGAUGAUGAUCUAAUAUUCAUUAAGUUAGAAUAAUUGGAUGAAGAUCCAAUAUCCAUUAAGACAUAUCCAUUAGGAUAAGUAAAGAGGGAUCUUUGUAUAUAGGAGUUGGGGCUUAACGGAUCGUUGGCUAAAUCCCUAUUGUUGUCAUCUCCUUCACCUCCUCCUUGCCUCUUUCUCUAGUUGACUACCUCUUCUCUGGUGUGAGAGGACAACAAGAGGGACUGAUCCCUCCUUGGUUAUUGUGGUGUGAUAAUACACGAAUGUGAGGAAAGAACGUGUUGCGUGAAGAGGUGUGUCGUUGUCGUAUCUGUUGUAUAGAUCACCGCUAGAGAAGAGUUUGCAAGAGCUCCUUCAUCCACGGACUGAGAUCUGCAGAUUAGGGGAUCUAUGAUCUCCCCUAUGUGAGAAUGUCUCAACAACUUUAUGUAGUUACGCGGUUUUAUCGCUUUCGAGUUUUUCGCUCACAAUCUUCGCACGACGAUUAGAUAAUAUUAUUUUAGGAAACUAGUUUUUGUUUUUACUUUCCACUACAUAUGUGAUGCUCUAUGUUGUUUCCCAAUAAUUUUGGUCUCAUCCUCUUUACCAACUUGAUAACUCAUGAUCAUUUAUUUUCUUCUUCAACUAUAUUUUUAGUUUUUCUCAUGAAGACUAGGAAACCUUAGUUAUAAAAAUGGUUGAGGUAAGAAAGCCCAAUUCUUCCUUUACUAUAUCUAAGAUUUUAGUUUUAUAGAUUAUAUGAUAAUAUUUUCAACUACUAUUGAGUAACCUACACUUUGAAUUAAUAUUUAAUUUUUAGAUAGAUUUUGUAUAAUUCUCUUGUGAUUCUAAAACCUCUAGUAUGGCUACAGAGUUACAGGUGGCCUAAUAUGAGGUACUCAAAAUAUUUUAUUUUCUGAAAAGGGAUUCUAUUCGAUCUGAAUUGGCUUUUUUAAUGAGAUGAUUAGACUCUGUGCCUUUGAUAUAUUUAAAAAAAUUAUUUAUAGUUUUGUGAGAUUUGAAAUUGAGUGAAUAUCAUAUUUGUGAACCAACGUUUAUUUGAAAAUAGGUAUUGGUAUUUCAAAUAGUCCAACUCAAUUUCAAAAUAGGUAUUGGUAGUGAAUUAGGAGGAUAAUUUAGCCUCUAAUAAUUCUAUUUGAAGUUAAAAAUUAGUGUGUAUUUAGUUUUAUAUAUUUCCCAGGUUUUUAUAAAAUUUCAUAAAAAUUCAAGAUUGUUUGCUCAGUUAAAAUGGUGAAGUAAAUUUUUUUUACAAAAUUAUGUGAUGGUUUAAAUGAGACUAACCAGUUUAUUUGAUUAUAUAGAAUAUUAUAAAUAAUUAACGAUAAUAUUUAGAUAAAUUUUUAGGUUGAGCAUAGUCUAUUUAGUUUGGAAUUUUAUCCAAAAAAAUUUUAUAAAUUAUUAUUAUGAAUUAUUAUAAAUUAAUAAUUUAAUAGAUAUGUUUCUUGAUUAAAGCAUUUUGUGAUAUUAUGCUCUCAAUUUGAUAUGUGUACUACUCCCUAGUAUGCUGGAUCAUUAAUGAAUAUAAUAUUUUAUUAUUAUUUUUAUUUUUGAGUUAAAUUAGGUAAGUAUAAGUUUUAUUUAUUGUAAAAUAGUGAUUGUAUAAAUUAUCAUAUUCAUAAUAUAUUUUAGAAAAUAUGUUUCAAAUUAUAUGAUUAUCAUUAACUACACAUAAGAGAAAUAUAGUGUAUAUAUUUUGUGAGCAUAGAAAUAUAAGAAUUAAAAUAAAAUUAUAUUAUAUGUAUAUAUGAUGAUGUGCGAUGUGAGAGUGCAUGUGUUUUCUUUGAUGUGCGGUGUGAGAGCUCACGAAUAUAUUAUGAUNNNNNNNNNNNNNNNNNNNNAUGUUGCAUAAGUUAUGUUGUACAGUUAUGCUUGCUGAAGAAGUUAUAUGAUAAUGUGUUUAUUAUUAAAUAUUUUAUGUUGAUGAUUUUAAAAUAUUAUACACAUAACAUGAUAUAUACUCAUCUAAAUAAAACUAUAAAAAAAUAUAUUUAUUGAGUGAUUAUUCAAUAUAUAUCCUAUUUUAUAAGCAAAAAUACUAGUACCCUGUCCAAGUGAUUGGAUUAGAAGUAAGCACAUUCAAGCUUAGUGCAUAUAUUAACGAUGACUUGUAAAUAUUUAUAUGUGUAUAAAUUUUAGACAUAUUAUGUGCUAUAUAUUUCUUUUGGUUAAAGGUUAUAAUUAUGCACAAGUGUUAAAAUCACUAUGUAAAAGGGAACUCUAUCAAUUUUUUUAGUAAAUUAAUUUGUUUUACUUUUUAGAUUGUCUAAUUUUUUACUAUACUCCUAGUGAUAACAAUAAAAGAAUUAAAAAGUAACAUCUUAUCUUAGUCAUAUAUGUAGGAUAUGGGUGAGACUAGGAGUAAGUUGUUACAUAAAUACUAUGAGUUAUUUUAUCAUGGGUUCCUUUUUUUUUUAUUAUGCAAAAUAUAUCACUACUCUUGAAUGUAUAUCAGGCUAAUUUUCUCAUAGAAGGGUUCAUGUUUAGAACUCAUUCUCGAUAUCAGACUUUGUGUAGGAAAAGUGCUUUGGGACAACUCUUCCUCGAGAGCUUAAAACAUCAAGUGCCUUCAACACUUUCUACAUAGAUUAGGCUCAAACCAAGUCAAGUUCGUCGAUAUAAAGUUAACCAUCAAUAUUCUUUCAAUCAUUUUUGGGGUUAGAAAAAAAGGUCUUAUUAACUAUUAAAAUCUUACAAGUGCUAAAGUUAUCUUCUAUCCUAAAAGGAUAAAAUCAUACAAACUCAUCUUAGUAACAAUAAUGACAUUAAUUAUAACGAGAAUAAUACAUAUAUACUAAUCUCCUUGAACUUUGGCAAUGAUAAGAAACUGAUAUGUCAAUAUUUGAUCAGUCAUUGGUGUGACGAACUUGUGAGGAAUUAUUCAUUUUGGAUGAUGGACUUAGUCGUAUAAUUUUAUUCUUUUGGAACUCAAAAAGGACUUAUGAACUCUUAACUCUUUUACUCAAUCAAUGUAGAGCUAAAUAUCCUUAUCAGCACUCCCUCACUUAGGGAAGUCAAUGGCUUAGGACCCUCUUUCUAACACUAAUUUGAUAAGUUAAUAUUUUAUCAAUCAAUGAUAUGAUGGUCUCAUAAGAAAUUAUUCGCUUUGAGUAAUAGGUGUAAUUUUAUCAUUUUGAAACUCGUGAGCUCAAAAAAGUAUAUUUGAGUGUAAGGAUGAUCCGACCAACUUAUGAGCCCUUCUUUUCCUACUCCACAAAUUAAUAAAAAUAUAAAACCAACUAUUUAGGUCUUAAAUGGUGAGUUAAAUGAUGGCUGCGGCAAUUGGACUUAUAUAAUAUACAAGCGAUGUUAUCGUGUUCUUGAAAAUUAAUUGAAUGCCCCCACGAACAGCAUAUUUAUCAUUCUCCACACUGUGUGUAACUGGAUGAGAUCAUGGCAGCAUAUAAAGACCCACACGGUCGGAGAACCAAACAUGAACUUCUCUAACAUGGUCAUACUUGCACGCGUCUCGCGGGGAAAGCAAAGUAGAAUGCAUGCAUCUCCUAUCUUGGAGUCGCCAGCUUCUUGAUGCUAAGGCGAAAAACCUACAGGGUGCACAGAAAUGGACGUGACACACGAGUGACGGACGUUGUCGUCCGAGAUCAAGCGUUUUUGAUCGGCCAUAAACCAGUGUUGAAGCCUUGGCAAUAAGACCGGCCACAAUAGGAAUCCACUGUGUUCAUAAAAAUGGCCAUAAAAAUCACUUGCAGUAAGCGAUCCACUGUGUUCCUCUCCAAUUGGAAGACAAAAUGUCUCAUGAAUCUCUAUUAUUUUCUCUUUUGCGCCGUGUAGGAUUUUCCAAUCCAGUAUGAGAAAAAUGAGCAUUUCAUGCGUAAGAGAAGCAUAUUCUCUUUUGCGCCGUGUAGGAUUUUCCAAUCCAGUACGAGAAAAAUGAGCAUUUCAUGCAUAAGAGAAGCGUCCAAUCGACGGGCUACUACGUCACUAUUCUGCGUGCCUGUUGAGGCGGAGAGCCAACGAGUUUUGACUCCCUCAGCAGCGAGGCGACGGUGAUCGGACGAUAAGCAUGAUUGACUCGAGCCUGUUGAGACGGAGAGCCAACGAUUUCCAUCCGUUGAAAUCUGAGUACAUAUAUUGCGAACAUUGAGGAAAUUUCUAUUUUUGAUGAUUGUAAAUAAUAAUAAUAAUAAAUAAAUAAAUAAACAUAAUAUGACCUAAGUUUAAGUUCAUGAAAGAAAGUCUUUUACGCGGUUUAAUGUGAUAUUUAUGGAAGAAAAUAAAUUUUAAAAGGAAUAUAUAAGUAACACUAUAAUAUUUCGAAUGUCUAUUAUCUUGGUUGAGGAGACGCGUUCUUUAGAUACAUAAACUGAUGGUAUUGGGUUGUUUCUUAAUCUUUAUUAAUAUAUUUAUUUUUAUUGUUAAAAAAACGAUACAAAAUAAGAACCACAAAUUAAUCUCAAGUUUUCACCCUUUUUUUUAAUGGAAUAUCCUCUUUUUGGUUUGCUCCUACAAAGUACUAUUUAAUUUUCAAAAAAUGAGAUUACUCCUCACAUUCACUUCGUCGCAUCCACCCCUCAUCCAUUGCCCUCACCCUCGAUCAGGAGAGAGAGUAGCUCGGGAGAGAUCAGAGUAUAGCAGUUCGAGAGAGAUCGAGUUGAGCAAAACGUGCCUUCGCCUUCGCCCCUUGUACGUCGUUUUCACCUCCUCACUUUAACCCCUCAUCGUCACUUAAUCUAGAGAGCAGAGUAUCUCGGGAAAGAAGCACAAUGAAAUAUGCAAGGAAGGAGGGAGGGGAAGCCCUAUCAAAGCUUUAGCGAUGCCUCGAUGGCAAUAAAAGAGCGCGAGUGAGAGGAUGGUGGGGUAGAGGCAAUAAAGCGAUGACAGGGAUAAUCUUAUCUUUUAAUAAUAUAAAAAAUACUCGACAUAAAUAAAUAGAAAAAAAAAGAAUUUGACUAUUCAUAAACAUUUUUACUAACAACUCCCAUGCUAUUAACAAUCAAUUAAAAAUAAUAAAAUAUUAUUUUACUAUUUAUAAUUCAACUAUUAUCCAUCUUAUCUUUUUUCUUCUUCUCUACUUACUAUCAUCCCCUCUUAUACUUCUCUACUUAGCAUAUAAGAUUUUCCUAGCUAUAUGAGGAAAUAUCUCUACUCUAUUGAAGGAAAUUCUCUAUUCUGUUGAGGAAAAUCCUCCCUCAUAAUCUGUAUAAAUAGGAGAGGGACAUGUUAAUAUAUUCAAGCUAAAGCUUCUUCAAUAUAAUCUUCUUCUUCUUUCUAUUUCAUUUCUAUCAUGAAGACGAGCGAGGCUCCAUAGCCAUUCCCUUGCCUCCAUAGAGCAGAGCAGCUUUCUCCUCUAUUGUAGACAUCGUUGCAGCUUUUUCUUCUACUAUAGCUUCUUCUCUGCUGCAGUCGUCGUCGCAGCCGUAGCAAUAGCAAUAGCAGCAACAGCGAUUUGCUCUUGCCCUACUCAUGAAGCUUCCGGCUCGUAAACUGUUUACUUUGCAUCAAUUCAAGAUUGGUAUCCUCGACAGGAGCAUCAUCUUGUGAGGGUAGCAGAUAAGAUUUUUCGAACUAUAUGAGGAAAUCCUCUAUUCUGUUGAGGAAAAUCCUCCAUCAUAAUCUGUAUAAAUAGGAGAGGGACACGUUAAUGUAUUCAAGCUAAAAUUUCUUCAAUAAUGCUUCUUUAAUAAAACUUCUUCAAUAUAACUUUCAUCUUUUCAUUUCAUCUCUUCAAUAGGUGUAGAAGGAGGCAACACAACUUGCCACCUCUUAGUUGGUUCAUCUUUUCAUUUCAUCUCUUCAAUAGGUGUAGAAGGAGGCAACACAACUUGCCACCUCUUAGUUGGCUGCCAACAUCACUUGUCGCCCCCUUGACGACUCUAUGCCUCUUCGCUUACUAUUGAUGCCACCUCCAUUGUUUGCAUCUACAGCUCCCUUGCCUUUUCCUUCGUGAACCUCCAUCGUAUUAAUGCUUACUCUUUUCCUUGGUCUCCUUCACAGCCCCUUUCAAAGAAGCCUCCAAUGUUAGGGGGUCUCGAGGCAAUUAGGCUCUGGUGACCACCUAAACAACUGGCCCACUAGUUGUCGCUUCUACUAAUGGCCCUCGUGAGGCCAUUCGUUCCUCGUGGUUAUCACUAGUGUGUGUUCAUUACCCAUAUUCACAUAGGGAUAUUUUAGAAACAUCAAAAUAUUUUAAAAAUCAAGUUGUAAAUACUAAAAAGUCAUUGCAAAAUCUCUAUAAAUAUCUAAAAACAUAUGGGUUGAAACCCUUGCAUUCGAUCUCGAGGCCUUUGCAUAUGUUGUAUAUAUAUUAACAGCCUUCAACCAAGAUCUGGCUCUGCAAAGGUGUUGCCAUUUAGAGUGACUGUGCCUGUGUGAGAGGUUAUUGUUGUUGUUGUUGUUGUGUGUGAGAGGCUCUUAAUAUAUAUAUAUAUAUAUAUAUAUAUAUAUAUCGUCGUUUUACAUCCAUCCAUUUACCAAAGCUACUCGGAGACAAAGCAGAGGCACAAAAUAUGUGAAUUCCGACACCGAUUUCACCUCAUGUCUCCCCUUUCCAUGACAAUGGCGAUCGUAAAGGAACUCAUGAAAGCUGGGAACGACCAAUUUAACAUCGGAAUCCAUAGCUGGAUCAGUCCAUGGAGAAAAGGAAACCACCGACUAGCCAUGUCCAUGGCUGCAGCUAGCUCCGCUUCCUUGCAUCUUUCGUAGUUACCAGUGGCCCCUCAUGUUGUCCCUGACAACUUGUGCUACCACUCCAUCCAUUUGCGAUGUGUUCGCCAGAGGAACUCCGAAGCACGUGAAGUUGGCAGUCGCUGAGACAUAAUGCUGGUGGCGCCACCUCGCUGUUGGGACACGCCCAUUAUCGUAGUCUCGGAUGUAGGGGUUUGAGUGUGACGAGAUGGAAGGGCCAAUGCAUGAACAAAACGGCGGUGGUUGUGGCGAUUGUGUUGGUGGAAUGUGGAAAACUGGUAGAAAUUGCUCGCAGAUAUUGUCGCCUCCGUGCUGGAAAUCUCCCAGAGGUAUAGUCUGCGAGACUCCAUAACUAGCAUCGCUGAAGCUGUUGCCCAGAGGAAAACGACAACAGGAUCAAUGAAGCAAUUUAGAUUCAUUCACGAUAAGAAUGAAUAGGUAGAUAAUUCGCCUAAUGGUGAUCUCAUUUCAUACCCCAUGUGACCGGCGGCGGCGGCGACCGGACCUUCAUUGCUGAACACGAGUUGGCGAGCACGAUUCAGCGUUUCGACUUCCCUCUCUACUUAAAAUCAAGAAUAGAAGUACGAUAUGCGGCAUUAGCUAAAUGAAGAUGACGAUAAACUAAACAUGACAAGCUACGCAUCAUAUUCAGUGAAGGGAAUUCGAUCGAUUAGCGUAAUAAGCUUAUAGCGCAACUUCAUGCCUUGUCGAUGCCGGUUCAUAUGGCCACCCAAUGCUUGAGAUUUGCAGAACUUGAGCGAGCAAAACCGGCACUCGUAUACCUUAUAAGACUCGUCCUUUCCUCCAUUCUUCUUCUUCUUAAACCCUGCGAAAUUAAUAUUUCAUAUGCAUUUCAGUUUUAAGUAAUGCUUCUUCCUCUAAAAACCUACUGUCGAUGGCCGUGGAAGGGGAGCUUCCGUCAAACGCUUCCUUCCCAUGUUCCUCCGGGAAGUUGUUGAGGUCCAAGGAGUUCACCUCUGUUCUCCUGCAACCAGAAAACAGAAUUAAGGAAUGCAGCGAAGUCGUCAACUAUGCUCCUCAAAGAAGGAAGGAAGGAAGAGGCGUACAUGUAAGUGAAGCCCAAGGACGAAACAACCGAACAAAGAAAUCCAGCAACAGAAGGUAAAAAGGAGAUGGUGAAAGUUAUGGCGAUGCAAAAGCAAGUUUAACUCUCUACUUCGACACCGCAGGCACUCACUAUAGCUAGGCAAAGCAGUGGUCUUAAAACGAGGGCAUCGAGAGACACUCGAAAGUUCUCUAUCAGUUUCAUCGCUGCACAGCCGUCGCUUUCUCUUUCUUCUCUCUCUUCCUUUGGUUUCUGUGACUAUUAGAAGAAUAUGGAGUGUUGGCUAUGUGGGAUCAUGUCAUUUUUCACUUGUCUCUUGGAUGAGACAACGAUGUCUCUAGAGGGACGUAGCCUUUGCUGCUGCUUCUCCCCACUGAAAACCCUACUCUACUCACCUCUCACAGCUGCUUCACACAUAUCUUUGUCCUCAUCAGUGACUGAUCGAUCAGGUGAGCACCCUGCAUGAACAAACACCUACCUUUGUUUCCAUUUCUGGACAAAUGCCACCUCUUCCAAAAAGUGACGCUUGUUAUUCGGUUAAGAAUCUACAGUCUCUGAUAUAGGUGACGGCUAUAUAUCAUAUUGGAUACUCAUCCUAUACCUCCCCUUAAUCUGAGAAUUAGAAUCCUUUAUCUUAUUUUCAUUUUUAUUCUUAAUCAUCUAUUGGUAUGAUCAAAUUAACUUUUAGUUCAGAUAAAAAAAACAUGAGGUGGAGUAGUUUUGACGGAUUUUCCGUCACAUUUGUUUCUUUAAUGAAGAAAAAAAAAGACAAUGAUAGAUGAAACCAUUCAUACGGUCUUCGUUACAGAAAUACUAGUUGUUAGUAAAGCUAUAUAUGUCGAUGCAAAUUAGCUCUAGUCAUGUUGCAUCAGUGGUUGAAACGAGGAAAGCUUCCCAGUUUAACUUUGGUAAUCGAUGGAGUAAAACAUCAGAAAUCACUCAACAGGUGUGCGAUGGAAAUGCUCGCUACUAACCGAGGAACACAAAAGUUCGCUUGCGUUCUUCCUCCUAGUUAAUAUGAUCCCCAAGCUACAGAGGUUCAGUGUUCUACAAAAUCUAUCACAGACAUUGGUUAUGCUUGCACGCAUCACAUAUAUACGGAGAGAUUGACCUCUAUAUACGUAAGAUGUAGCUAGCCAGACUUCGUCUGGUAAAUCCAUGGGAACAACCUUCAUUGCUUCAUUGAAUUACUGAUAAAACCAGAGGCAUCUUGGUUGCAAGUCAGCGUGCAUGCAGGAAUAAGAUACCAUAUUCUCUUUUAAUUCGCGGCAACCUUACGGUAAUAGUGAACAGAGAAGCAAGACGAUAUAGAGAGAAGUGGCUCCUGCGUGACGCGACAGUAUGUGAUGGACAAUGUUGCUGCUGCCACAUGCAUCGCUGACAGUGGUGGACUUGGAUGAUGCUUUCGGCUGGGAUAUUAAUGUCACCGCGAAGGAGGCUUUUACUGUGACCAUACCUCACGUGAUUUGACAUCUUCCCUUCUGCGUCUUCACUUUGUCUCGCAUUGCCAGACGCUCGUCGAGCACCUGCAGCUGCACCUGCACCUCGGUAACAAUCCCGGCUCUCUGUCAUGCUGUGUCGUCCCAACGUCGUUUGAUUUCCCUUCUUUUUGACACCACGCUUGCAGUACAAACAAACCUCCACAUUAAUCCAAUUUAAUAACUAUGUGGUGCGACCUGGAAACAGAAGGUCAUGUACUGCACCGACUUCAUAUCUACAAUGCCUGCCUUCGUUUGUGUCUGUGUUUGCUGAUGAGCUGUUCUGAUAGCACCUGUCGUUUUCCACCCAUAGCCAAUCUUCACCUCACUGUCUCAUUAGGGUUGGUAAGCGGCGAUGGCGUUUCAGCAGCAGAAGCUUUGCUGUCAAAAAGAAGGAUCGUGGAGUUACCCGUUGGCCGAUAGAGAGGAAGGGAGGUAUGAUUGGCCAAUCCAGUGAAAGCUGCAUGUCGUUUGUCCUGUUCGAUGAAUUAAUUCGAGAUCACAGAAAGGUCAUCUGACACCACUCAGUAUUUCCAUAUCAAGUGGUGAUAGAUAGAUACACAGUUAAAAUAACCACUUAUGUAUGGAGAGGACGAAUGUCCCCAGACAAAGCACAGAUUCCCUUAUGCUGCCACAUCUUUUCUUCCCUCUCCUCCAAACCGGAGUCUCUUUUCCUUCGGUCUCCGAUGAACCUAAUCACGUACUAUUAAUCGUCAUCUUCUUCCUUCUUGAUCCAAAGAUGCUUCAUCUUUUAGGUGAGCUCAGCUCACGAGGUAAACGACAACGUAGAGUAGGUUACCGUCCAGUGCUGUGUGGGGUACGUCAGUAUCACCAGCUAUCUUGUCUGUAAGUGUGUCGAUUACGGCUGCCGCUCUGAGUUAUAUGGAUCGACGUCGUCUUCCCACAGCCCACAUAUAAAUCUUCGUCCAAACACUGAAUCAGAACCAAGACUCCAAGAAUCAGUGGGUCGAUUGUGGUUCUAUCUCAUUCGAUCUUAAUCAUGUAUGACUUGAUGUGGAUAUCUAUCGAUAGUCCAUCCAUCCGACAUCAAGCAAUGUGGUUGAUACGAGAGGGUGGCAGAGUCAACACCUCCAUAGAAAUUUUGGUGCGGAGAGUUUGUAGAUGUGAGAUAAGAGUCAGAGAAAAGGCUGAGAUAGUGGCUGUAAUGGUAGGGAGCUUUAGUCCUUUUGGACUGCAGGGGCUCUCAAGUCGCCAUCCAUGUGGAUAUCAUGACCUGUGGAAGGCUGAUGGGGGAGGCUGCACAUGGGGGCCACCAUGGCCAGGCAAGAUCUAGCAACAGAAGCUCCACUGGAUGUACGAAAUCUUUUGGUGCGGCCCUGCAGAUUCCACAAAUAUUAUUGUAAGCAGCUAAGACCAUAUUAUAUACGUGCCGUGCCAAUUGGGCUUAACCAAAAUUAGGCCAACACUUUUAGGACCGGAUCCAAUUGAGAAAAAUGGACCGGGUUCUGUCUGUGCAAAAGUCCUACAUGCAACCUUACGGACACGAGAGUAAUUAAUUUGUCCUCGAGCGAUGUUCAAAUUAAAUGCCACGUCGAAUGUUGGAGUGAUACGAAGUCAUCUCAUCGCUGUGCCAACAUGCAAAGGACGUUUGGCAUGCGAUGCGCUCACGCACUUGGGGGAAAACAAGAAAAGAGAAGUGCACGUACACGUAGUCGAGAAGAUAGACCAUUGACUAAGGCGGGGUCAACAUUUUACCCCAAGAAGAAGAGGUAAACGAAAUCGUGUGGUCCGUAUUGAAUACAGAUAAAGGAUCAAACUUUAAAUUACGUUCUCCAUCAUGCAUCAAUCACCACGGGACGAACGAGAUGAAGCAACGUGUCAUACAUGACGAUCCCGUUGACUUCCACCAUUGACGGCGCCUGUAAUUGUUACCACGGCCAUGGCUUGACAUGUUUGAUUAGCUUUUUGAACCUCUUCGUUUCCCACCGUAAUGAUCAAUAUAACUCAAACCACCCUAUAAGAUAAAAAGGGCUAUUAGAACUCCCGUUUGGAAGUCAGACCGACGCGACAGUCCAAAGUGACCUGCGACAAAUUAACAAUGCCAUGGCAUGAGUGUUCAUUAAUUGGACUGUAGUGUGUGACGAUUAUUAUGCGUCCAUCGCUUUCGAAAGUACCACGAAAGAGCACGACUAAUAUACAUCAAUUAAUUGAGAUAUAUAGUAAUGACAUGCAGCAGCAAUUGGAUCACGGUGGUCGGACUAAUGCGGCGUUUGAUCCAUUCAACAUCCAUCUCUCCUACCAACGCCCGGUGUUAAUUAAUGUCAAGUGUUAUUAUAUUGCGGAGAACUUUUAUUGACUAAUGUUAAGUUCAACUGGGAAACCUUGCACUGGUCUUCCGGCGACGUUCAAAACAUAUACAAUGGUUCCAGGAAGGAAGAAGUUGCAUCUGUGCACGUGUGUUGGAUUUAUAUUGGGUGCAUGCACGUGCAACCCGAAUCCGAUAUAUCUGGAUCCAAUAUCUGAUGUCAUCAACCAACCUGCCCAUCAAUCGCUCUUUCUCCUUCCCUCAAAUACACACAACGAACACAUCGACUACUGCCCACAUGCAAAUGCAAAGAUGUUGUACGUGAUCCGAACUCCCUCCCCUAAUAACAAGGCUCCAAAUCCAUAACCCACCACCCUUCUCUCUCCGCCAUCCCCUCUCAACUCAACAUGUACCCUUCACCCCAACUUCCUCCCCUGUUUUCCCUGCAUUCCUCUCCCACCCCACCAUUAAUAAUUUCUCCUCCUUUCCUUUUGUCUGCGGUCAACAUGGCUGGCGCCACCCUCCCUCCUUUCCUAUAUAUAUAUAAGCACAUAUAUACGUUUGCCUCCCCACCGAACACCAACAAAGCAAGCCAAGCCUCUCCAGAACGAGAACAAAGAUCGACAUCUCUUCCUUAGUCCGUCCGUCCUUCAAUCAUCCACCCCUCCCUCCUCUUCCUCUUCCUACAAUUCAGCAUGAGUCCCUCGUCCAGAGAGAUCCAUGGCUCCCGCCCCGCCCCUCUGAAGAUCCACAAGGAUUCUCACCUCAUCCACAAGGCUUCCUCCUCCUCCUCAUCUUCCUCCACCACCACCAACGCCUCCUCUCAGCAGCAGCAGCGCCACCGCCCCGUCAUCAUCUACACCCACUCGCCCAAGGUCAUCCACACGCAGGCCCACGACUUCAUGGCGCUCGUCCAGAAACUCACCGGCCUCUCCCGUUCCACCAACGACGACAUCUCGUCCUCCCUCCCACCUGCACCCCCCGCGGCCAACGCUUCGCGUCUGCACAAGGACAGCAACCGGGCUGCUGUCUCCGCUUCCGACGACUCAUCCUCCUCCUCCGAGAAUAGCAGCUUGGGGGGCGAUGUGCAUGUCACCUGCUCAUCAUUGACUUCCGUCGGUGCGAUUUCUCCGAUCGCCUUCGAACCGUUGCCGCCACCGAAUCCCUUUUUCUCAGAGAUCCCAAUGUUCACUCCUACCUCUGAGGAUUUCAUCUGCUCAUCGAUGCCAUUCUACAGAUAUCCGGAUUCGUCCAUGCUCUCGCCUUCCAUCCACAAUAUGGGCAGCGCCAUCUCGCCUCCCUACACGGAUGCGAUGAAGACGUACCACGAGUACUAACACCUUGGGUAUGCCAAUAAGGAGCGCCGAACACAUGAUAGAUGGCCAAUAAUUCUUCUCGAUCGACAUAUCUUUUCUUUUUCUGCUUUUUGUUGGUUGAUUCGUCCAGCUCAGGCAGCUGAUUAAGCUUGCCGAGUGUUGCCAAUAAGAUUCGAUUAAUUCUUUGCUACGUUAGGAGAGGAGAGGAACGAGGAAUCAGGCUCUGUUUCAUUGGAUACUGAUGUUUAGUUGCAUGCCAAGAUCUUUUAAUUUAUUAUGUUGUGAAUCGCCUGUAAUCAUGCACUUAAAUUGUUUCUUUAGUUUCAUGCUCGAUCAUGAUGGAGUUGCACUAUACAUCAAUCUGCUUAUAACAUUACACGAUUGAAAGAUUCUGCUUAAGCAGAGCUAUAUAUGCAGCAACGAUCAAUACACUCGCAUGUUUUCUGUUCUUUUGUUGUCUACGAGCGCGAAAUUUCCAACUGUCUUCCUGCUCUUCUUUUGGUUUUCGGGUGGAUUCUAAAGCUAGUUAGAUUACGUUCCACAUCUCAAAUCCACCCAGUGAAAAGUAGAUUAGCUGCUCCAUAAUAAACUUCAAAGGCUCUGACAUAAACAAAGGAGCCGUCGUCAAACUUGUUUUCUACCAAAAGAGUUCAUUGCAAUCUUCAACGGCGUUCUUCACAAAGGCAUAUAUAUACAACAAUCCCAGAGCAGAUUACUUGGUCUUCAUGAAUGCAGGACUUUGUUGGCAGUUCUUUGUUAAGAUUAUAUUGUUCUCAAUAUAAUCGUUCGACAUACAUUAGAUUGAACCCCAACUCAACCCUUUCGAUUCUCACCGCUCUCUUUCCAAUCUUCAUAUUGCAUAUGAAUAUUCUGAAAUCUAUGAUGGGAAUUUUCUGAAAAAUAAAAAUGUCAUGAUUCCGACGCUUAAUCAGAAAAGAGUUGAUACAGAUGCAGAAUUCAACUAAUUUAGCAUCUUCUACAUUAUUUCAAGAGAAUCCAAUACUUGGCUCCUAUUAUUGAUAUCAAGUUUGAAUCUUCGUGGGAUCAACAAACAAUGGUAAUGAUCUGAAACCUGCUGAGUUAUAAGAGGAUGGAUGGCGUCUAAGCAGCUAUAGUCAUAUCGCAUGGGCUUCAUCUACACUCUGCACCACGAGCUGUAGAACUUCCUCCUCUUCUGUUUUACGGAAAACACGGUUGAGUAGUGAUGCCAACCUCACACCAGCUUGUGCUAUUCUUUUCUCCACCACAGGAAGCCGAGAAAAGAAGUAAUCAUCUGCAGCUCACAAACGAUCGAUUACGAGAGCUAAUCGUCUUAAAAUAUAUCUGCUUAGUUUCGAUUCCAAUACCCUGUUUGCAGUAAUGCCCAGUUGGCUUACCUCCUAAAGUGGAAUCUUGCUCGACAUCCUUAUAAGCAUAGUCACAAGCUAAUCUUAUGCUCUCGGAGGCGUACCUGAAAAGCUUGCAGCCGUUAUACAUACAUCAUAUAAAGAAUGCCAUCAUUGCUUCCAAAUGUAACGAUAUGAUAUCAUGCUAUGUCAAUUUCGUCUCACUUGUCAGCGCAAGUCAUCGACGUUGUUGCACUGCAUCGCUUCCAUCCACUGACUUCAUCAGACCAUUCAUUCUGGAAAACAAAAUCAUGUUUCAAAGUGCUGUUGGAGAAAGGUAAGCUGGGAACUCAUGAACUUACAGUGAUGUUCAUCUCGAUGGCCUCGAUCAUGCUACCCAGAUCAUUGUCGUAGAAGUCACGCAUGGCAGUCUCUAUUAUGUUAACGUCCCACACCUUGCCAUGUACAACCAAAAAAUCAUGUCAACAUCUGGGCAACCAUUAUAAGGUUCAGAAGCUUCGGGUUCUCCGUUGUGGAAGUUACUCAACAUGAUGAAGGUUGCUUUUUCUUCGGUACCAAUGGACGAUUAUGGUAUUACCACCCGCAUCCUCCGCGAAUCCUACAUGGAGUGGUUGAUGUACGUCUCCCACGAAAUGUGCGAGGAACAUGAGACUCUCUGUCAGGUUAUCUGAUCCAUAGAAACCAAACAUUGUUGUUAGGUUGCAGAGGACAUAAACAGUAUGGCAGACUGUUCUUACAUCCACUCGAUGCAUCGCCAUAGCUCAAAAGCUGCGUAGUGUAGUUGUUAAUUGCUCCAACCACGCACAUGUCCUGCACACCUUUUGAAUUGUGGCAAUCCCCUGCACGAGUGCCGGCACGAUCAGGCUAAAAGGGAGAUGCAAACUAAGGUGUUAGAUCGCUUCGACGAAGCAGACUUUAAGGUCUUGGGGAGUUCCCUAAUCCCUGAGAAAAGGCAUGUUGACAUGGAUGUGCUUUUGAAUGUCUUGCACGCAACUCUAUCAUGCAAAUCCCGUGUCAGCAACAACAACAGCAAUUGCCUCGAGGACAAUUUAGGAACCCAAAUUGGUCCAGUCUUCUUCUCCAACCCUUAGUAAAUCUCCCAUGUUCAUCGUUGAGUAGAUAAGUCAACAGGAGGUUUAGCCUUCCCUCUAAAUUUUCGGUGCAGAGCAGAGCAGAGACCAUGUUCGGUCUCCGAUCAACUCUAAUGGCAUGUAUGAUGUCUAACAUGAGCUAUUGUGCUAAGCAAUUCCUUAGUCAAUGCAGCAUCAAGGAAUAAACUAGCUUAUUGUAUCUGAAUUCUUUCAGAAUUUUCCUUCUCUGGAAAUAAAUAAGAUGGGAUUGCGGGUAGGAAGGCUGCUAAUGUUACUUGAAUACUCGAAGUUGCAGACUCCUGGAGUAUUGGCAUAAUGGAGCGGGCUCGACCAUCGGUACCGGAACCGCACCUCAUCCGCCCACGAGCACACUGCCGCCAGAUCCCCUCCGGCAGACUCCGGCAGAAGGUCUAACACCGCUGCUGACGCUUUCUUCGUGAGAUAUUUCUGUCACAAUACAAGAUUUCUUUGAUCUGUGGUUUAUGAACUCAAGAGAUCAGUAAAAAUCAAUGUAAGAUUUCAUGUCACCUCUGCUAUUUUGCAGACCAUGUAGUGCCCCUCCUUCCCCCAGGCCUGCGCGGUUGGAGCUCCAGCUACUAGCAGAAGAAAGAAGACGCGGAGGAAGAGUAAGAAACCCAUCUUUCUUUCUUCUGCACGUCUCCCGCUUCGGUUUCCCUUCCCCCCCACCCCUCUUUCUCUCUCUCUAUAUAUAUAUACAUACACAAAUGUAUAUUGGCUUCACGAUGGAAGCAACCAUCGGUAAAAAACCCCAUGAAGUUGAAGUGUAGGGGAGAUUCACAUAUCCUAUGCUAAAAAAUAACUUCGAUUCACAUGAUCAUGGCAAGAGAUCUGCUGAUAGCAUUCCCAUGAUUUAAUGGACUUUGGACAUCGCUUCUAAGAUAAGACAGACAAAAGAGCCGCAGAGUGAUGCAUCUGUUGUGGUCCUGAAGUUUGGAUAAGAUAAUAACUGGUGCAAUCGCUUAUUACUGAUACCAGUCUUCACCAUGUUAGGUUUUGACAAUUCCAUGCUUUGCCUUCGGCUUCCAUUAAAAAGAUUUAUGGUGAAAAGGAAAUGCUACCUACCAUAAACUCUCUUAUGAACGUAUGAAUCAGAUCUUGCAAGAAACUUGAGUAGUGUAGUAUAGUCUUUCUGUAGUAUCGUGAUCUGUGCACACGUUGUUGUCUUGCUGGUGAGAGGAUAGUAAAAGACCCUUCGUGUUGCACAUGUUAUGGUAUGGUUCUGUUCCCCAGCUAAUUAGUCACAUUUGAGACAGCUCUACUGGGAUCAAUGCUAAAAGGGAGGAUCACCUAAUCAGAAGCCAAAAUGUCAACAUGUGUGGCACAUGCUUAGUUCAGAGCAGCAUUUCCUCCUCAACCAGGAGUUGAAUGCAGGAAAGGGACCCUCGAGAACUUGGAUGUGGAUGGAGCAUAUACUUUGGCAUCCCAAAACACACCUCCAUCCAAAGAUUUGAAUCUACAACCCUAAGUUUUUUAUGAUCGUUGUAAAUAAAAUAUAUUAUUACUUGUUUUCGUCUCCACGUAAACUCUGUCUAAGAAGAAAACAGAAAUAAAUUAUGAUUUGAACUUACAAGAUCCGACACAAGAAUAACAUAUCGAUAUCUUUCGAUAAACUAUCGAGAUCUUUAUUGACUAUGUUAAAGAAAAAAAAAAGGCUGACACCUUCUAAUAAACAUAGUAAUAAUUAACUAUUGGUAGAACGUGCACCUCGGCAUCUCUUGAUUUAACUAAUAGAUUAUUCAAGUCAUACUACUUGUCAAGAUAAUCCCCAACCCAAAGAAACGAAAAUAAUUUGUAAUGAUAGCAUUGGGAAGUGAGCUAUGUAUUAUGGGCUGUCUCAGCUGCAGAGCCCAUCUGCUGUCGUUAUAUGGAUCAUUUCCUGGAAUUCCAUUGCCCGAAGCUCUUCGCAGCUCUUCCGAUUUGAGAUCGCCAUUAUCUUGUUAUGUACGUGUCCACAUACAUGCAUUGGUGCUUAGUAUGGAUCAAACGUUAAAGAAACGUUAUCUCAAUCUCGCCCACUGUCAACCCUGAAGUGUGAGCAGCAACCUUUGAGCACGAAGGCCCUGUGCUUCCCACCAUCUCGGAGCCCACGUGAGGAUGUUCAUGUACCGAGUUGAUUAGGGUUUUUGAGUCAUACAGGGUCCAUCGACCACUUUACUCUUGAGGAAGACUCCAUGACCACUCACCUGCAACCUCCCAUCAGGCAUCAAAGAGCUCUCCACAUUCUGGUGCCUCUGAACUUGGCCAUAUUACAUCCUCAAUCUCUCUCUAUCUCUGCCGAACUAUGCAAAAGCCAAAUCCUGCUCAUUUCUAAUGAUCUCAACCUAUAUAGCUAAUGUGGACCACAGCUGCCCUUCCUCGGUUCAUGCAUGCCACCUUACAAAGGGAUGUAAAAUGGUUUAGAAGGCCUAAACAAAAGGAGAUUAUGACUCGUCUCUAUCCCUCCCCAUAGCGCGGCUCGGAGGGCUCCUCACCACGCAUAACUCAGUCGCCUGAGGGACCACAGAACGUUGUCCCCUCCCAAAGGAAGCCGACCUUUUUCUCAACACCCAAGUGCAACGCAUUUGGCUAACUCUCUAACCCCUCUUUCAAUUCUCCAUCCGCUCGAUGGAUCGCAUCCACUACCCAAAAUUUCUUUUCCACCAUCUACAUUGCUUGGCAUCAGCCGAUUCGUAGAUGUCGUUCUCGCAGUCCGCAGUCAUCUCGCUGGACCAUGCAAAACUACAGGCCGCGAUUACGACGGUUUUGGAGUGUUCUUCUGUGGAGAGGAUGAAGCAUCGGUUAAUUAAUAUAGUUUGAAAUUUCAGUAGAUGUGGACGAAGCAGACAAAAGCAAGCGCCGAAUGUUCACAUAUUCCCAUCUGGUCUCAAGAUAUUUCUCCUUCUCGUAACAAAGGUUUUGCAGGUUUCAACCAACGAUUAUCAUCCGCCAACUAAGAUAGCUAAUUCUUAUCUCCACAGCUAGCUAUAAUGGAGAACAAACAAAUGUGUCGUCGCCAUCAAGAAUGAAGAUAGCAGAGCUGGGGAAGCUGCAUGGCAAUUGGUAUGCCUCUCCCUGAGGAGUGGUCAGGAGGGAUCUACUUAUGAUGCCAAGCAUAUGAGAGAGAGAGAGAGAGAGAGAGAGACUCCUUAUAUAUUGCUACAGUGAUGGAGUGUUGUGGUGUGAUUGAAAUCUCAAAAACCCAUCACCUUUGCUUUUUUCUGAAAAAAAAUAAAAAAACUUUAUUGAUGAAAUAUGGUGUACAAUUAUCUGUUCUGAUAUCAAUUCCUGCAAUUUGGCAUGAUAAUCAAACCGUUCAAUACAAAUUACUAUACCUAAUAUGAAUUGGGUUUUCGUCUCAUCCAUGGCUUUUGGAUGUUCGAUGUCACAAUUUCUAGAUGUUGCUUUCACAGUCGUCGGCCGUCGCGGGCUGCGAUCACGAUCGCUUUGGACUUACCUUCGACAGAAAUGUUUAACUAGAUGUGGUUUCAUCGAUACCUCUGUGUAUAACAGACAAGUAUUUCGUCUUCUGUGCACCGAAUUGUUCGCAUGUUUGCAUUAGAAUCCCAAUCAAUUUUACUUGAGAUCAUGGCCAUGUCCUACCCAACAUGGCCAUGCACGCCAUCCAUGUCCAAUCGCCAAUUGAUGGCCGUCAUCACCUUAGCUAACGCUGGAUAGGAUAGCCACCUUAACAAGAAGGAAUGUAUUGCUUUCAAGCAAUUAUGUCACUUUGUUUCUUGCUAAACUAUGAUUACUACAUUAACAUGUGAGUCAACGAUAUGGAUAGUCCAAUGCUCAUGACGCCAUCCCUUACGUAUUGUGUGCAUCGAGGAUUAGGUUUCUCUCCGGUACGCCUCUAUCACCAGCACUGGUAGUGGCAACCAUCUUCACAUCUUUGUCGUCCAUGACACAUCUCAAUCGUCGGUGUGAGCUGCAUGCGUUUGUCACCAGCACUGUUUGACCUGCUUGUAUAUCGGAUUAACCAUUCAAUGAGUAGAAGCAGCUUUCUCCGAGGAAGUAUGGAACGAUUUGACGGCUCAGAGUCGAUGGCAGAACGUAAAACGGGAGAAGAAAAUAACAAUAGGAGUCCAAUAUAUUACUAUGUGACGAUGACAAUACAUGGAACCGACAAAGAGGUUGAAUACAAUCAUACAUGACCAAAUGAAAAGGAACAGAUUGGUCUGUGUGUGUGUGAGAGAGAGAGAGAGAGAGUUUUGCUAAGGCCCACACAUGUGCGAAGGAAAGCAAAUAGCUCGUAUGCACGUGAGCCAUGCAUGGAUGCCGGGAAAUAGACUUCUUGAGCUGAGGUUGGGAGAGGAAGCGAGAGUGCAAUGUAUGUGGUCAGAGACAUGGAAGUGCCAAGAGCCGAAAGCCGAGUCAAAAGGAGGGCAUCGAUAUUGAGUGGACGCUGGUGCAAUCCCCAUGUCCCUUUCUCUGCGCUCUCUCUGCCUCUUCCCCCUCGUAUGCUCCAUCCACCUGCAAGAACAUGAGAAACACAGUUCAUCAACCCAUCAAUCAUCGACUUCGUUUCAUGUCAUCGUAUGUGCAUCUACAGCCUGUUGCUUGUCCCACUUGCAUCCUCCACUCAUCUUCUCUCUACAACUUUUGACUCGAAGAUACAAGAAAGAGUCAGAAAGCUUGGUUGAAAUCUGUGUGCUUGUGGGAGGCCACAAACGAGUUGUGUUGCAUCAUCCAUUCAGCUUCAGGUAUAUAUAAAUAUAUGCAUCCCGACCAUUCUUUAGUAUUAUCGAUCACCUUGUUUAAUGUCAGAGGUAGUUAAACUUCUUUCACAUAGGUUCCCGACAUAGUUGAAGAUUGACAAGACUGUUAGAAUCUCGUCCUCUCCAACCAUCCUUGCUAGAUUGUAUGUGUGCCACGUCUCCUAAAGUAGAACAGUCUUUUGACUAUUCUAUUAGCUUGGACAGCAUAACAUGUGGUGGGUAAAACUAUUGAGUUCUCUCUGGAGGUUCACCUGAGUUAUUGCGACGGCUUCCACACCCAAGCUGUAGUCGUAAAAGGAGCUCGCAGCCGAAAGUUUCAUUGAAAGAAACUGCGUCAGCAUCAAAAAUUAGAUGUCUACAUGCGUAGAAUGAACAGAAUAGAUAUGAGAACAACAUUUUGAGAAGUGGCGAAUGAAUGAAUGGCUUCUUACCUCAACUUGGUUCUGCAGUGAUUGCACAUAGUUGAUUAUCUCAUCCAGCAUCCCUGCCAUACCCAUCGUCUGCAAAAAGAACACAUGGAGUUGCUUCAGAAAAUUGAAGGUGGAAUCACCAAAGCUUUAGCAACUACCUUGUAGCAUCCAGGAACAAGGUCUUGUAAACAUCUCAUUCUUUCAUUGAUCUUCCUCCUCCUCACCUGAAGUCAUGUCAGUAUAUAUGAUCAUAAGCUCAUCAAAGCGUUACAUGCUAAUUAAUCUGGUCUUGUAUCAACAACAGGCUAUCAAUAAGGAAAAGUUACACUAUCUAAAAGCUAGCAUGAGUCAUUGUCACAAAAUGAAAGGUAUGUGCUUACCCUCUCAGCUAGGCUGUGGCUGUCAGUGGCUUGGCCUCUUCUUGCCCUCACAUGGACUACCUCCUUUGGCUUCCCUGCUUCCUUCGAAUUGCUUUUGCGUCUUCUCCCACUCUCGGACCCCUGAAAGGAAAACGAGACAACAUGAGCUCCCAACAAUUAACUCGCAAGGACUUUGACAAGAGAGCGUACAACUGUACGUACGUUCUUUUUCUCAGUGUUAACUUCUGCCGAUCCAAUCACCGAGUAGACCUCUGAAAAGUUGUGGGAACUCGCAUUCGAUUCCGCGAUCAUCUUCCUUUUCCUGCCUCCAUGACUCUGCUCUCCAACAGAUCCCGCAGGCUGCGACUCCGCAAUGGGUUUUUGGCGUUCUGCAGGCGGACCGGUCAAGUCAUCGAUAUAUGGAAUCGAGAACUCGGACUGAUGAGGCAAGUAGUACUCCUCGGAGUAAUCCAUCAAUCCCAUGCUCGGGCUGUGCAUAGCCGAGCCAUUGAGCUCCGCGAGCUGCCUCAUCAGCUCCAAGUUGGUGUCCAUCUCCAUGAAAGGAAGAGAGGGCUUAAGACACUCAAAUCUCUCCGCGUCCACGAACUCCCCCAUGGAUGCAGAACGGACGACCCCAACGGUACCAAAGAAGACUGCGAGGAUAAGUAUAAGAGGGAGGGAAGGGCGGGGGGCCUCGGAGGCCUCCUAUAUAACCUGGUUUCUGAACGUGUAUGAAGUAGCUGCGCUGCAGUAGUCGCCAAUGCAAAAGCAGGGCACGUGGCACAUCCAGUUUCGGUCGCUGAUGAUCUUGUGGCUUCUCCUCGCAGACUGUACCCACAAUUAUUGGAUUCGUGUGCUAGGAAAUUUUACGACGAUGAGGAGCAUUUGAUCACAGGACAGUGGUAGCUGGAUGCCACAGUGGAAAGUGGAGGUGGAGCGGACGGCGUGAGACUUCCGAACAGUAAGAAGGAUGUCUAUGGGGCUCCAUAAUCUAAAACCCGUCCCUUAUCUUGGAUGUUGAUCCUCAUUUUGGACCAUGCAUUGUCAGCUCAGUUAUGAAUCCCAGUUUUACAUCCAAUAUCGUCUAAAGAUCAAACUAGAGUUCGAAGCUGCGGUGAAUCAAUCUGUGGCAGAAUCUAAAGGUUCUACGUACUUCUAAUUGGCACCAGUAUUACAAUCACGUUCUUCUUCUGUAAUGCCUCAACUUAGUCAGGUUGGUAGAAAAUACUGUGAUAUAUAUAAUCAGUCAACGGUGAGUCUUACCGAGAAAGAUUUGGAGAAGUCCACAUUAGUUACUCUUCAUUAUUAUACAGAGAGAUGCAAUAGGAAAUUGACCCCGAAACUAGAACUUUCUUAUCAGUCAAACUCCCCACAUAAAUUACAGGCCCACCUCACAAUAAUCCCAUCGUUGUACACCAACUGCUACCAACUAUACUUGUUUGAGCCGCAUAGCUUAUCCACUCUAAUAUGGUGAUGAAUCCGCCCACGGGUACAUCCUCCUGCAACAUUUCGAGCAUUUUGCCUCGAUAUUAUGGUGCAUGGAAAAUGAUAGGCGGACAGAGAACUAUCAUCCGAAUACUCGUACGUACACAUGAUGAAGUACGAGGCCUGGGUAUCGGAAGGUGCAUGUUUACAUACAGCAUUGAGUUAUCGAGCAUAGUAAAGAGAGAGACUUCUUUUGGCUCGUUCCACAUAAAGAGAGAGGGUGGGGCAAUCGGCAGUUUCUGCAAGACAUGGCUCUGGUUUUGCAGUUAGGGAGAUAUCUGCAUCACGCAAUCAAAGCGGUCCUUCAGAGAUAAGAACUAGGUUUGGUGUGAUCAGUAAAACCUUUGAAUUGAAGUUUACCCACUGCAUUUAUAUCUUGUGCAUCUCUCCAUAACCAUCGAAGAGAUCGAGCUCUUUAAUGGUUAUGGGAAGUACCUGCAGCGUUCUUCUCUCUGCUGCCUUUGCUUUGCAAUUCUGGUCAUAAGAUGAAAUCUAAAUUAGGUUCUGAUCUGAUGGUCCUCGCUGAGAUAAUUUCUUGCCUUAUUCUGCCUUCCCUUUUCCUCCGCCCAUUAGCUUUGAGUUCAUGUCCACUAUCAACAGACGAUCUCUAACUCCCUCGAGCCUGAUGAUGCAGAGAAGUCACCGGAGCGGGAGAAGAAAGGAGACAGAAAAAACAAAUAAUAAUAAUUAUAUAUAUAUAUAUAUAUAUAUAUAAUAUACGCAGGUGAUUGCUUAAUUGAGGCCUAAUCCAUAGUUAUGUUCGGCCCAUUCCAUAGACGACGAUUCCGUAUGGUGUUAAGCUAUAGAUAUCCCAUUUGACUUCAACCAGCUGGUUUAGCCUUCAUCUACAGAAUCCACAAUGAACAUCUGACAAAAAAGGAGAAGAGGUGAUGCCAUUCUCCUCCAUCAUCUUUCUUUAUCUUGUCCUUUAUGAACAGAAGAGGUAUUAUCUUCACUAUUAUGGGUGUCGUCACCAUCAGCCAAUCCUGAAGUCAGUUGAAACAAUCACAAGUAUCAUGUGGAUCAUGGACUUCCUAGUCGGUAAUACUUCUCUCUCUCUCGCUCUCUCUCUCUCUCUCUCUCUCUCUCUUUUCUUCUUCUUAUGAUGGAGACUUCCAUACAUUUAAAACAUCGAAUUGCUUUGUGUGAAUUCGUGCAUGCCAAGGAAUUGCAGAGGUAACAGGAAGUGCUCGGAAUUUGCUGUUCUUCUUGUUUAGGUAGCCGAAGACUUUAAUCAUUGUUUACACAAUCAAUUGAGCUAUCUUCGAAUAGAUUUGAAUAACCAUGCUUGUAAUCUAACAUCUCUUAGAUUAAACAACACAUGAUCCACCUACUUCCUACAAUCAUACGCUACUAAAGCAGGGCAUGCCAAACCAACAAAGUAGCACAAUGCAGGCUUUAAAUUUAGCAGCAAUCGUCAUCUAGAUAUGCUGAUUUCUCCAAGACUACUGCUGUUGACAGUAUUCUCACUUAAAGAAGAAUAAUUUUGUACAAUGAUCCAGCUAUAAAAGCACCAUUUGGUGAUUAAUUUAGUGUUCCUGGUGGAGUUGGCCAAAGUGAUGCUGCCAUUUCUUAUCCCUCUUCUUAUCCUCAUUUCAAUCUUUGGCAUCACUGGAUGACUGACAUGACUCUCGAGAUUGGACUGAUGGGAGAGUGAGAAGUUCCAACCGGGAAGCACGUCAAGCGUUGUCACCACCUGCCGACCAGGUUGUGCUUAGGAUUUCAUCCAGUUGAGCACAAUCAAGCGAAUGAAAUCAGAUAAAUGGACCACUCGGUCUCUCCUUCUCCGCUUGUUUCAUCCGAGGAGUUCACCAACGAUCUCCAAUUGCAAGUCCAUCAGAAUCUGAGGAGUUCGCCAUGGAUUGUCCUGCCAGAAUCUGCUGCAGGGCUUCACAUUACUGUCUGGCAAUGGGACAUACCUUACAUAUGAUUGAUCCGAUACUGCUCCAUCCUUCUCAACCAUUGCUUUGGGUAUAACAAGCGUAAGAUGCUUGUGGGAUUGUUAAGGAUAUAUCGUCUCCAAGGAAAUUUCUCACAAAGAAAUCCAGCGGGAAUAAGAUACUCUGUGCUGUCUUGACAUGUAUCAUGUUGUGUCUGCACUAAACAGCUAUUUGAUGGCAGUAAAUCUUACAAUGAGGAUAUACAAUUGAGGUGGCAAUCACCUUAGAUGAUCGACAAUGCUUUUGUCAUUUAGUAUGGAAUUAGACAAUACCUUAGCCAACUUGGGUUUGCAGAGCUUUAACAAAGCUUUCUUGUAGGCUUUAGUACAUGCAAUCAUCAUUUUGUGGAGUCCUUCACUUAGCCUUAAGCUUUCUAGGCUUUGAAAUGGAAUUGUGGUCCAUGAAAAGCUUUAUAUAUAUAUAUAUAUAUAUAUAUAUAUAUAUAUAUAUCCAAAGCACCGGAUGAAAUAAGAAAAUAACCAUAAGAUUGGCCAAAUAUGAAGUCGAAUAGACUGUGCUACUCACAGCCUACACAUCUGCUUUAGUUUCUUGCACAUAGGUUAUGAUAUCAGCAAGCACUUACAAACUGAUAUGAUAAGAAGGCUAAUCGAAGCACCAGUACUGCAUGUGCAGGAAAAGAUGUUCCCGUCAUCGAGGUUUAAUGAGAACUGAGUUCGAAGGGAACAUGUUCUUAUAAUUCCAGCAGCUUGAACGCCGCCGCCUAAUGUCUUCUUCCUCCAAGAAAUCUGAACUCAACAGUGUCACGCCUUGCAGAGAACUUGUUUGGUGAAACACGUUUCCACAUGAGAGAAUCUAGAAAAAGUUGCCAAUCCCCCGAAGAAACUUGAAUCGCUUUGUCUAUAUUCCUCCACCUCCUGUUUUUUCAACCAAGAUUUUGACUCGGAGCAUCAGAAUUCCUUUUAAGAUUUGCCACGAGUCAAAAAAAGCAAGCCACGUCCGAAUGAGGCCUACGAAUCACUGCUAGUCUUUGGGCCCCUUGGAGUGGUCUAUAAAUCUUGGGAACUCGGCUCUCUUGCUCUUCCAUGUAGCCUCUGCAAGAAUCCCUCGUAGAGAGCAAGAAUGUCUGGGAAAAGGGGAUCAUCCAACAAACAUGAAGACAUGAAGCUAAGGAGAGGUCCCUGGACUCUGGAGGAGGACACACUCCUCGUCCACUACAUUGCCUUUCACGGCGAAGGUCGCUGGAACCUGCUCGCUAGGUGCUCAGGUAAUCGAUCAUCAUCUCACCUACCUUUCAUGAUCUAUCUAUGACUAACCUUCUGCUGAUCGUAUAGGCUUGAAGAGAACCGGCAAGAGCUGUCGUUUGAGGUGGUUGAACUACUUAAAGCCCGAUAUAAAGCGAGGCAAUCUCUCUCCCGAGGAGCAGCUCCUGAUCCUCGAACUCCAGUCCAAGUGGGGGAACAGGUAAUCAUCGAGGCUCUAAGCCUCAGGUAAUUUUUACAGUCUAGCCGGCAAUCAACAUGGCAUCAGAUCCAACUACGUUGUUGUAGCUUUCCUUUACUCGCAUGAUGUUUACAUGUAGGUGGUCACGGAUUGCACAAUACUUACCAGGGAGAACCGACAACGAGAUAAAGAACUACUGGAGGACGCAGACGCAGAAGCAAGCAAGGCAGCUCAAGAUCGACGCCAACAGCACCGUGUUUCGUGAUGCAGUACGAUGCUGCUGGACGCCGAGGUUGCUGGAGCAGACGAUCUCUCCUCAGCCCGCGCAAACUCCGCAUGCCGACACGGCCGCCACGGCGAUCGACCAUCCUCCCCGAGACCUCGUCCAAGAGUUGUUCCGACCCAGCACGCAUUGCCGAUUCGAGAGUCGCAGCUCGUACGAGCUAUCAGGAGCAGAGGUUCGCAACCCGAGCACCUCAUCGGCCCAAGUCUCAGGCUUGCCGGAAUCCUCGUGGAAGCCGGUGGCCGAGCUCAGUGGCAUCGAGUUCAGUCCAUUCCACAGUGGCAGCUCCGACGACAACGCCCACAGCUUAGGAGCCUGCCGCCUACCUCCCAUGACGGCAUCGGCAGAUAGCUAUGCAACAUCCGGUUGCACGGCUACUUACAAUAAUUGCAUGAACAGCGUGGGAGACAGCUUGUGGAGCAUGGAUGAACUGUAUGGAAUGCUGAAUACGUGGAUGGGGUAGAAUCUAUUAAUCCUUUUGGUCACGACUCCCAUAGAUAUAUGUGGCUUAAGGUUCCUCAUGUUUUUCUCUUUCUUUCAUUUGGGGCCUCGAAUAAGACUUCACAUCUUCUUCUUCAAACUGCUUUUGGCCGAAAGAAGCAGAUGAUGGGAUAUCGAGUGGCGUACAGAAAGGCAUCGAUGAUGGAAUUGUUGACUUGAGUUCACAACACAGCAGCCAUGGAUGGAAAGUGUGGCAUGCAGCUUCUUCUUACAUAACACAAUAAUAAUUAGGAUUAAGAUUGAUUUUAGCCCAUUUAAUUUAAUUUUGAUAUCAUUUAAAUUUUUAUAAUUUUUUUAUAUUUUAAAUAAAUUUUAUAUUUUAAAAAAUAUAACAUAUAAAUCUCUCCUGUCAUAUCUGAGUUAACAAAUGUUAGAUAUAAUGAUAUGUAUAAUUAAUUUUUUUUAAAAAAUUAUUUUAACCUUUAUGAUUUUGGUCAUGAACUAUUUAAUCCCUUAUGGUUUUAUUUGUAUAUAAAAUAAUCAAUAUAUUAAAAAAAAAAGUAGCAUAUAAGCCCAUCUCGUUAAGUCUGAGUUGAUAAACAUUAGAAUAUACUUACGUAGUCUUACUUAUAAUAAAUUAUUAAUAUAAUGAUAUGUAUAAUUUAAGUUUUAAAAAAAAACUACUUUGUCGAGGAAGAUGAAACAAUGAAAGUCGUAAUGAUAAAUGAAGAUGGAGAAACAGAGUUACAGAUUCCAGAGGCGGAGAUAAGGGGGAGUUAAACGAUCACGUUGUAGGCACGAUGGGUAGGGGCAUAGGAGAGAACGAAGUGGGAGAGGGUAGAGAUGAAGAUGUUUAGAAGGAGGAAGAGGGAUUAGGAGACCAUUGCAUGCCUAACAUCAAACUAGUCGACGCACAUCGCAUGAGAUAGGAUCGAUAGGUCUUGAGUUUAUUGUUAGUAUGGGAAAGACUGUGUGCGUAUGACACCUUGCUAGGUAGCAACGACUUAGUGUCGUUGCUCGUGGUUACUCCCAUGAUGAUGCCUAUUUCGCCCAUUGAUAGUAGUCUUAAUUUUUUAAUUUAAAUUAUACGUAUUAUUAUAUUUAUAACUUAUUAUGAGUUAGCAUAUUACGUCAACCGACUCUAAUAUUUCUUAACUCAAACUUGACAUGAAGAUUUUAUAUGCUAUGUUUUUAUAAAUGCAGAGAUUAUUUUAGAUACGAGCAAAAUCAUAAGGGCUUAAGUGGUCAUGAUCAAAACCACAAUGACUAAAAUAAUUUUUUUAAAUUAUAUAUAUCAUUAUAUUAAUAAUCUAUUACGAGUCAGUACAUCACAUAAGUAAUUUUAUCUAUUAACUUAAACUUGAUCAUAUAAACUUAUAUGUUAUGUUUUUAAAAAUAUAAAAAAUAUUUUAGAUAAACUUAAAUAAUUUAUUAUCAAAUUUAAGAGGUUGAAAUGGCCUUAAUUAUUAUUGUCAAGUUGUUCCCCUAAGUAUAAAUUGUAAAGGACAGUCGAGUUGGCAACUACAGGAAUUUCUUUUGGAAGCGUCUUUACAUGAUUGGAUGGCAUCAUUGGCGUGACAUACGGAAGAAUGGUGGGUCAGACGCAAUGAGGGGUGAGAGGGGUUUGAUGCCCCCAUCAUCUCUAUGAGGUGUGAUGGGUGACUCCGACGAACGAAUUGGGUCUUUCUUUUGUAAAGAGCAGCGAGUACUGGUCGCACACCUUAACGUAUUGCAAGGGUUAUAAUUAUCAUCGUCCAUGGAAAUAACUAUGAAUCCUAUUCUCACAUUGUCUUUUCCUCUUUCUUUAAGACUAGUAUUGCACCAAAGUCUUUCAUCUAUUCUCUCGGCGGUCCAUCUCGAAGAAGCACUACAUAGAUAGAUGAUGUGUCUUGUCGUGUCAGAAACUAUCGUCAAUUCUAUAUUAUGCAAUUGAUCCAAAGAUAAUUGUUUCUUUCAGAGUGAAUUCGUACCGAGUGAAAAAUCCUACAAAAUUAUACUAUGGUCAUAUCUAAAUAUUUAAAUUUGAUAAAUUUUUUUUGAUGUUUAAGUUAAUUUUUUUUAAAAAAAUAAACUUAGUUUCAAGAGUAAAAAUGAGUAUAUGUUUAAGUGGACACGAUAACAUCAUAAUCAUGAUAGUCAGGCUUUAAUAAAUAUUACAGUUGAAUAGGUUGAUUGAUUACUUAUGAUUUGAAUAGAUAUUGUAUGUAAAGUUUAAUUACAUACUAUCUUUUAUAUUUGGAUCCUAUUAGCAUCAUAAUUUUUAUACUUAAUAAAUUUAUAUUGAGAUCCCUCUGAAAGUGAAAUAAAUAAUUCUAUUUAAUCUACCGUCGUUAGUUAUAUUGAUAGAAAACACAAGGUAAAAAGAUUUUUUUAACAUCUUUUCUAUUUUCAGGACGUGCAAUGUUGUAAUUAUAUAAUUUUUCUUUCACUUUCAAUGUCAUGCAUUAUGUUUUUCAUCAGUACAAUUAACAGUGUUAAAAUAAAUAAGAUUAUUUUAUUUUAUUUUUAAAACUAUAUAAAUUUUUUAAAUACGAGGAUCAUAUAUUAAUGAGUCCAAGUAUAAUAAAAAUAUAUAUAAUUAGCCUCAUGUAAAUUAAUAAGCCAAAAGUAUGCAUAAUAUAUUAGAAUAGAUAAUGUUGUUGCACUUGCUUAGGAUGGCAUGACAAAAAGUGGCCGACGAUCUAAAACGAGGCGCAAAUCAAAGCAAAGAUGAUAAGAUUCAACGAAAUUAUCUCCCUCGGUCCUUCCACGGUACAUUUGCGGGUCCCACUCGAACCUAAAUCAAGAAGUUUGAAGGGUGUAACCAAUCUCAAUUUGCAAAUGGCGACUCUAAUGGCACGUGGGAAAAAUGCGAAGAUCGAGGAGUGAGAUGAUAUGACGUGACAUGAAAUAGGCAGCCAAUCAAUCGGGAUGACUUGAGGUCGCCAAAACUUUGGUCAUUGUUUAGUUCCUUUAGUCACCUCUUCUCUUGGACAAUAUGCGUCACGUUAACGAUGUUGAUAUUAUAUAUAUAUAUAUAUAUAAUACUCUUUAUAAAACCCAUUAGGAUGGUAAUAAUUUUAAAGGUAUUAUUUUUUUUUAAAUUAUAACUUUGUUUUAGUUCAAAAUAAAAUACAUUGUUAAUUAUUUAACUAAUUUUAUAUAUUACAUUAAAAUUUACAAGAAUAUAUAAUUAAAAAUUGAAUAAUAAUGAGGUCGGAGUUAAUAUAUAUCGAAUCUAACCUUAAUUCAAUCCAAAAACAUAGCCCAAUCUAUAUCACUCAAUUCUUUCGAUUAUUAGAAAUACUGGAUUAAUGGCAUCGCUUGAUUUUUCUCAUUUCAUUUCAGGAUGUUUCCUCGAUGCUGCUCAUGAUGACUUUGUGUGGUUCGAGCGACCAAACGCAGGAGGAUGACACAACCGAUGCACACCGGUGCGGUCGAGGAAAGAGGUUGACGAGACAUCUCCGUAGAAUUCCAGUACCAAACCCCCGGAAGAGUUCACGCGGCGAAGGCGCAUAAGCCACACGACUCAGAGCCCUGUUCUGAUCGCCGAUCGAGAGCUGUUCCAGGUCGCCGUCUUCCUCACCGAAGCAACUCUCGGUGACAAGGACAUGACGCAGGGAUGGAAGAGAUGUCGUUCGAGGCGCUUUCUCUAACAUACUAACCGGUGAAAGAUCGCAUCUGAACGUCGAAUCGGAGUGUUCUUCAGAGAAGUUUUGGUGAUUAGACUUGGCGAUGCGUCGUGCUCAUCUUUUUGACCGACCUCUCUCCGAAUGCUUUGGCAUGUUAAGAUCAAGACGUGCGUUGACGAUCAACACAACGGGGUGAGCUUUGCUUUCAGAAGUAGAAUUCCUCGUCAUUGCCUACAUGAUCCAGCGGGAGAGGAAGAUGACAGAAAGGCCUAACUUAUCAAGAAGAAAAUGCCACUCUUACUCAAUUAAAAAUCAGCACAGUGAUAAUUGAAGCAAAACAACAUAUAUUAUCUCCACUCCAACAUUCAAGUUUGGAAACAUAAUAGAAAAACCUGUCUUCAUAGUUAAAUAUUUGGAGGCAUACCUUCCUGAGUUCAUAUUUUUCCAUGACAUAACUUCUACAUCAGAAGAAGAAGUUCAAUAUUUGGAGGCACACCUUCUUAAGUUCAUAUUUUUCCAAUGACAUAACUUCAACAUCAGAAGAAGGAACAAGGUACAAAUAAUAUGAAUAUUAUUGCAAUUAACCGUUCCACCACAUGCUUCAGCAACACUUUUUACUUUUUCUAGGUAAACUAUAAAUAUCUCAAACAACCAAAUCUGCAGAUUCCAAACUAAAAAUCAAUUUAUCGGUUGUUCUGCUAUACAUCAAGGGAACAUUUCUUUUAUUCUUCCGGCACACUCCAUGAUACAUGUGAACUAAGAUUGAUCACAUAGUUGUGACGAUCGUGGACGUCUCAAUAUUUAACCUUGUAUUGUUGAAAUUAAAGUAUGCGCUAACCAAAGACCCGGUUGUUUACUCCAGCUCGAUACAGAUGAAUCGGUGCAUCAGCACUAGCAAUCAGCCUAAUCUCAUUUUGAGCUGGCACAAAAAAUGCAUCCCCCUGAAUGACCUUUCUUUCCUCGGCUGGAGAACUUAUCUGCAUUGUGCCCUCCCCGGCCACGAUAACAAAUAUAGAGGGCCCUGGAAUGGCAGAGAACACAACAGACUCUUUUGGUGGCAAUAGGCAACGAUCGACUUCAAACUCAUCAAACGGAGGUGUAUAUCGUGAAACAUAAGAAUAUAUGGGGACCCCUCGAAGAAUUUCAGGAAAGCCCUGCACAAGUUGUAAAAAAACACUAUGCUAGUUUACUAAACAGGUAAAUUAGUUGAAUGGUCUAAACAAACAAAAAUAUAUGUGGUUAAAUUAAUAUUUACAGAAGAGCAAGCUCCUCAUCCACGUGCAAUCUAUAAACAUUGAGACUCUACAGAGUAGAUAGUCAUAGCCCAUGGGUGGCAUAAUCGAUCAUUCCCACAUCAUAACAUACGACCAUCAACCAAUCACAAAAUUAAAAACCAUAAACAGCUAAAAUCCCUGGAAAAUGAAUUUAAUAAGCAUCAAAAACUAAGCUAUGAUGUUACAUGAUACUUACCUCAAGGAGCACGGCAAAUAAUAGACAGGUGCAAAUGAAAAGGUACAAGAACAACUAGAAUAGUGAAAUGAUAGACAAGGGAAUAAUGGUACAACAUCAAAACCUACAUAACGAUAUUGCAUAACCCAAUUUCCAACAACUUAUGCAUAUGUUUAAGAUAUGCUUGUGUUCAUCACACUUUGUCAUCUUAUUGCACCUAAAAAAUAUAUAAAUGUUUCAAUCUCCACUAGAAAUUGAUCAUUUCCUCUUGGUCACCUCAAUAGAAUAUAAAAUCAGAGAAUUGUGCACCGAUGAGGCUACUACAUAGAGUAUGGAAACUAACGUAAUCUUCAUCUUUCAACACAAAUAUUCAUAGAGAAUCCAUGCAAGACUAAGAAGAGGGUUAGGAUGUGCUAACACAAUAUUUAAAACACCAACACCUAAAACAUCCUUUAUGUGUAAAAAGCAUGUUAAUGAUUCUUGAGUUGAUUCAAGUUGGUCUAUCCAAAAAGAAGCAUAAUAGUCAACCUAAUUUCUGUAAUUUGUAUAAACAAUUUUGCUAUAAAUAAUAGCAGAUUUCACAUCUCCUUAGCUACCAACCAUUAGUAAAUGGAAAGAAAUACUAUUAUAGUCCUUAAGAUUGGUAAAAAUUCUUGUUAAUGAUGACCAAAUAUAAGUGCAGUAUAUGAGCUUAAGAUUAUAUACAAUGAUAUCCAACAACAACCAUGGUACCGUUUUGUUUGACAUAUAUACAAAAGGUCUAUCUAAUGUUAUGUUACCUGAAAAAAUUCACAGAACCAGAAAACUCCCAAUUAUUCUUCAGACACAUUCGCCAAAGCAUUGGCAACACAAGACAAUUAUUAGAGACAUCACAAAAUGAAAGGCACAGAUCACUAAUCAAUAUGCUAUAGGUUACUAACAUGUCAUGUGCCAUUAAUGGUUUCCUAAGCAAUAAAAUAAGAGCAUAUUUUAGAAAGAAAAUUCUAAAUUAAAAUUAACAGACCUGUUUGUAUGUUAGCAUUGAACAAAGAGUUGGCACGUCUAUGUACUUAGCUGUCAGUCCAGCUCGCACAACAUUGUCUGAAGCAGCCAUACAUUCAAUACAAUCGCCCGAAAUAUAAGCAUGAGGUUCAUUUGAGCCAAUAUACAGUGCUUCGCCUGGGCUGAGCUUCACAUAAUUAAAUAAGAAGGCUGCUAUGACCCCAACAUCAGCUUGAUACUGCUUCUCCAGUAGUAAUACAAGCUGUUCUUUCUCCGUUAAUGUCCUAAUCUGAUUGAAGGGAUAAAAAUAAUUCACAAUUGUACAGUCAAAAAACAGCCAAAGCUGGGAACAGAGAAGUUCCAAUAUAAUUUAUCUCAGCCCUAAUGUAGCUAGCUGCCAUUAUCUUCAAAAAAAGCUAAUUGUUUCAUCAGGGGAGAGAAUAAUUGAUGAGAUAUAUACCAUCUUAAACGAAAAAGAUCAUUUAGAGUGAACAUUAGAAAACAGUGCUAACCAUCCUGAAAGUUCAAUAUAUUACAACAUGUUAUAUAUAUAUAUAUAUAUAUAUAUAUAUAUAUAUAUAUAUAUAUAUAUAUAUAUAUAUAUAUAUAUAUAUCCACCUGCAGUUAUCUUUGCAUUGCAUACUUCAAUAGUAUUAAAAUCACUUCUGGUAAUAAGGUAUAUUCAUCCAUAUUAUAUUUAAUGGCAAAGUGAGCACUUAGUUCAAUCAUGACAAAAAACGAAAUAUGUGUGAACUUAAAAUGUUUCAUAAAAUGAAGAGUUUAGCAUAGAAAAGGUUCUCAGAUUAGUGAUCCUAUAUCAGGUGAGUAGAACGUCAGCAUCUGUAAUAUAAAAAAAAUUAACCAAUCAUCCAAGUAUUAAAGCUUCUCACAAGUUAUUGUCAAGUGACUGAAUUAAAUUUAAAGGUGUUUCAGAUAAUACUUUCUAGCAUUAGCAGAUUUCUAUAUGCUUUCAAAGAUCUUGAAGCAAGCUCAAACAUCAAGAUGCACUUGACUGCUUGUCAUCUUCCAACAUCCUUUGCUACUGUCCAUAACACAUUCUCCCUAUUAUUUUGCAUGCUAGGUCCAUAUUCUUUUUCACCCCAACAUUUCAUUGUCUCAGUCCAAACAUUUAUCCAUGACCUUGACCAAAUCCUCCUUGAAACAUUGCCUUUACCCUGACACAAACUGCCGUAAGUAAUUUGUCAUUCUUAGACUAACCUAAGAUAACUCAAACCAAUCACUACAACUCAUCCUAAAUGUUCCAGUACCUUCAUUUACUCUUGUAAUUGGAAUUUUAAGACACCACUUACCCUCUACACAAGGGAGGGAAAGAAACUUCAAUAACUGACUAAAGAAUGUAGCUAAUUGUGUCCAGAUCAAUGUAAACCACCUAAUCUACAUUAAUUGAUCACCAUGUUUGACCUGAUAACAAUUGUCUAAAUAUGUAAAGUGGCAAGCUCAUGAAGAUCAUUAUUAUCAAAUAAACUAUCAUGUGAACAUCACCAUUUACAUCAUAACACAUGCCAACCUACUGUAAUGCAUCUCUUACUAGUUACAACAACUAGUAGAGUUCUGUUCAUAAGUAUCGAGAUAUUCAAAAUUAGAAAUUAUGCCCCCAUAAUUGCUGGAAGAAACAAAAACUAUCAGAAGAUGAAUAAAAAGGUCCGCCUAGCAAAUGUGACAAAGGGUUUACAGGAAGAAGCUUUGAGGAAUAGAAAGGAAUAGCUUGCUCGACAGGUUAACCUACAGUUGUUGAAACAGUCUAAAUCAUAAAUAAACAAAGUACCCUUGACACCUGUAUAUCUUUGGAUCUGAGAGACAUAGUCAAUAUAGUUUAAACAACAUUCCCAAAUGAAAAACACUCUGCGCUCCACAUCUUGGCACUGGUCCACUGAAGGCAAAGGCAAGAUAUAAAGGAAAUAGUUAGGGACAGCAAACUACUUUUUGCCUAUUGGAUGACUUACACUCUUUCCACCUAUAAUUUGUGUUGGAACUCUAGUCUAGAUGAUUCUAGAUUCAGCAAUGGUGCUUCAGAGGUCUACUUAAAAUGUUUUCUGGACAGUCCUAUAUUUAAGAAAAAGACAUAAAAGAACAGAACAUAUAAUCAAUUUUUAAAGGACGAAAACAACUGACGUAACUCACUAUGACAGUUCACAUCAUAGAAACUUGUAAUUAUUAGAACAGGAUUAGUAAUAAAGGCCUAAAUGUCAAAAUCUGACAGGACAAUCACAACAUCUAGUCGAAAUAUUAACUCUUAAGAAUGCAGCAAACGAAACAUAAGAAUUUGAUACAAUAUGCCAACUGAAUCCACAUAGCAUGAUCCCAUUUCCCCAAUCCAAUAUCAAUAAUCCAAAAUCUUUCAGUUCUGUCGCAUAAAGAUACAAGGCCUCAAUGUAUUGGUCUUUAAACAAAAAAGAACUAGUGAUUAGCAACAGCGUCAAAAUAUGAACUUUAUUACAAACAUUAUAACCAUACAAGAAGGCCAAGACUUGCUUCCUUCACCUUCAAACAAGAAUUUUCCUCACAGAAAUAUAUAACGGGCCAACUCAAAUACACGGUGAUAACCAGGAUAUGGAUAAAGAACUGGAUGUUAGGCAUGCCUCGAGAAUGCCAGAAAUUAUUAUGCAAGAUGUAUAAGUUCCAUAGCAUCAACAAAAAGAUCGCCAUCAAAAAGAGAAAAAACAAGAUUGGCAGGUACACCAAGUCGAGCCUUUUAUAAUAACAGAAAUUGAAAAGUGUUCUUGUUUCCAUCUAGAAUUAUCAGAUUAGCUUGCAAUCAGCAAUAACCAGAGUGAAUCAUGCUAUAAGUACAGAAUUAUGAAGGCAAACAUAAAGUUUGCUUAAUAACAGAUAAUUCUGUUUACCUUACUUUCAACAUCUAAACGAUCUUUUAGUUUAGGAACCAGUUCCAAAACAGCCUCUUUACUUGCUGACAUAAGCUUAGUGAAGAUUGAUCGCAGAAGAGCUUUUGCAUCCAAAUAUCCAUCUAGAUCUUUGCUGCCAAUAAUUUUGCUUGCCUCCUCAUUACCAAUCAGCUCUGUAAUUUCUGGUACACCAACAAGGACAUCCUUGAGCUCCUGCAGGUUUACAAGAUACCAUGGACAUAACUGUCUGCCCAAUGUUUCUUAUGAUAUCUGUAUUAACGAUUGGAAACUGAUAUAUCAUAGAUGAAAGUUACUAUUUAGAAGAUGGGAGAGAAAAAAAGCCUUCACAAACUUCUUCAAUAAAAUACACAUCAGAUACUUCUUCCAGAAGAGGAGGAAAACAUGUGAAGAUUUGCAACCAUGAAAUAUGGGCAGGUCAGCAUAUAGCAAGAUUGAUGAUAGGACAUGGAUAAAAAGAAUAUCAUAAUACAUCAUUUGAAAAGACUACAUGGGUUAACAUGUUUCACGUGUAUUUAAACAGGGUACUCAGACAAGAGUGGCAUUAAAAGCAUGAAAUGUUGAUUAAGGAAAGGCAUAAACAAAAAGUCAUCAAAGAUUAGAGGGGUAGCAAAUGUGAAGUCUAGGAAGGUCUUUGUGAUUAAAAUCUGGGAAACAAGGAAGCUCAUAUGCCAUGAAUAAUAUCUAGCUACCAGAAAAAAGCAUGAGAUGCUUGAAACUUGAGUAAAAAAAGCAGUAACGAAGGUCAAUAAAGUACUCAGAAUUGAUUUUGUAAUAAGAAUCAACAUAUGCAAAAGUAUGUCCUAAUAAGAUAACGUCUAAGAGCAAAGUGGCAAAGAUAUCCUGGAUGAACUUUUUUAAGCAUGCCUAGGUAAGAUAAGCUAAGAACACAUAAAACAGAAUGCUGUAUGAACAAUUUAAAUAGCAUCAGGCAAGAGUCUGAAACUCUGUUGAUUCCAACAGUGGCAUCAGGAGUACAAAUGGCUGCACUAAAGCAAUGAGAAGGAAGUAAAGUUCACAUGUCCAUCUAGUUGUUCAGCCCAAUAAGCCAUAAGGUAGCAUAAAGUUAUGAAUCUGGAAAGACAGUCCUUCUUACAUUCUGAAUCCAAGAUGUCUUGUUAAACCAGUAAGUUUUAUAACACUAAUCAUAAAACAAAUUCAGUGUGGAUCAUGAAGGUAAUUAGAAACCAUCAAAUUUGGGAUCUUGAGGAAGCCAAUGUUAUAACUUUCUAUCCCUUUUCUGUUCAAAUCAAAUAAGAAAAAAGGCACACAAAAAACAGCCUAACAUGUGAAGUACCAUGGUAGACUAAAUAUAAGCUGUCAGUAUAGAUGACACAUUUCAUAUUAAUUUUUUUCAUGUGUUUAAUCAUUAACAAUGAGAUAUUCCCCCCGCCCCCCCCCCAAAAAAAAGGUGACUCUGGAGGAAAGUAAUCAUCACACUACAACAAGAUUUUUCAAAAAGGCGAUUAUGACAGGUUAAGACGAAUUGAUCAGAAAACAACCAAUAAAUCCUGAAGUAAGACAAGAAAACUUCAUUAUG
rnacentral:lncRNA from 1 species